rfam:Gossypium raimondii Chr05_contig_1344, whole genome shotgun sequence.
UGUUAAAAAAUUUCACCUCCUUGUACUGUUAAAAAUUAGCUUGGCAAUAGUCGGAUAACAAUAUAAGACAUGUUACGUUUAUCUCAUGCUAAUAUAAAGGGAUUAGUUUUUAAUGGAACAAAGGGAUGAAAUUUUUAACA